rnacentral:rRNA from 1 species
CCACGGGAUCCGUGCCGUAGCUAACGCAUUAAGCGCCCCGCCUGGGGAGUACGGCCGCAAGGCUAAAACUCAAAGGAAUUGACGGGGGCCCGCACAAGCGGCGGAGCAUGUGGAUUAAUUCGAUGCAACGCGAAGAACCUUACCUGGGCUUGACAUAUACGGGAUCGCUGCAGAGAUGUGGUUUCCCUUGUGGCUCGUAUACAGGUGGUGCAUGGUUGU